AUGUACCACCCGUACACUCCGCUCACCGCGCGCCACCCGCACUCAACCUGACGACCGCUCGCGACGUUUUGUUAGCC
rnacentral:sRNA from 1 species